UCUUAAGAGAAGUGGACAUGGUCUUAAUGUUUUUUCCAACGGAUUCGCCAGAGAAAACCUACGUGUUUCAUCGUAUUAUAAUCAAUAAGAUUCAAGGUGAAGCUUUGCACGUCGUUCGAACUCUUGGCCCCUCACCAACAUGGAUAGAAAUAUUCCGACGGACACAAAGCAAAUAGUACAUAUGGAUGUGUAUACAAAUUCCAAAUGAAAUUUCUUAACCUUUAUAGACCGUUUUUCGAAAUUUGCAACAGCUUUUUAUCUGGAAGAUCGUAAUAAUCAAACGAUAAUCGAAAAAUUACGACAUUACAAAUCCCAAAGAGGAAAUUUUUAUAAAAUUAUAACUGAUAAUGAGUUCAAAAGCGUUAAUAUAAAAGAUUUUCUUAAAACCGAAAACAUAGAUUUACAUUUUGUUAAGCCAAAUAACCACACAGGCAAUAGUGACAUUGUGCGACUCCAUAGUAUAUUAACGGAAAAAAUAAGAAUUUUGUAUAUUGAAAACAAAGAAUUAAGCAUAAAAGAUAAAAUGAGUAAGGCUGUAGAAUUUUAUAAUAAUAGCUGUCAUUCUGUUACAAGAUAUAAACCAAUCGAUGUUGAAUAUGGGAAUUGUAAUAAAAAAUUUAUUUAUGAAAAUAUUUUAAAAUUUAAAACAAAUUAUCUUAAAAAAAGAAAAAAAAUAGAGAAAUAUUUAUGGAUAAUAGGAAAGAAGAAUAUAUCAAAAACUAUAAAUCUUUACGACAUAAAAAUGAACCUAAGUUUAGAUUUAAUAAUUUACAAAAUGUUCAUAGUUCAAACAUAAAAAGACAACUGAAAUUUGAAGGAAAACAUCAAAAUCUCAUUUAAUUUAUUUAAAAUAAGUAUUAAACUCAGGAGAGUUUUAAAUUUAGGCGAUGGAGAAAUUAUGUAUGUAAACAUGUCUACAAAAAUUAUGUUUAUAAACAUUGUAUAUUAUGUUUCACUUAAGUUGCCGACAACAUUUUCCUAUUUUCUUUAAGCUUUUUAUUCUUAUUACAAUAACUGUUACGAUUCUCUCGAACUAAAAUUACAAUAAAUCAUUAAGUUUUGAUCACUCAUCGGAAUCGGUUGUUUUAAUACACAUAACUCGCGCGA